UUUUUGGAGUGAACUCGGACAUUUUUCACCUACGUCAGUACUACUCAGUACCUCUUCUCAGAAAGCUUCUCAGGAGGCUGAGAUCUCCUCCAUGGUGAGAGCACAGUGCUCAUCCAUCUUUCAUCUGCCCCCUCAUGCUUUAUACAAGGAGAUGAGAUCCAUAAAAGUAAACAUUUGAAGAACUGCCCUGAAUUUUCCAUGCUUGCUCUCAGCCUGAAGGUAAAUUCUUCUGGAAAGUUUGGUUUCCCAAGGAGAGGAACUCGGGGUUGUGCUUGUGGCGCGUCGAUCUGGCCUGGAAGGAUGCCUGAAGUUAACACUGUGUGGCAAACCCGGGAGCUGAACAACUGUCCUGCGUAACAUUUUGUGGCAUUUGCAGGGAUGCAGUGGCUGGAGCCUCUCACAACUUCCUAUGCUUCAUUUCCCUCCUGUGAUUUGAGACCAUCCAAAGUUGUAAAGCUGCUUAUACAGAAUAUUUAUGAAAAACAGAAUGCAGAUUGUUGAAGAUACUGGAAAACAGCAAGUCUCUUGCAGGAGAAGAAUAUCUUGUCACUAGGUCCAAAUAUGACAGAGGCACCCAUGUGAUGAAUAUGCUGCUGAUAGUGCCAUAUAUCACAGCUGUCAGACGCAGCGUCACUGCCUGCAUGUGUGCUGCUCAAGGAGCAAGUCUCCUGUAGUUCCCUCUGCAGGUCACCAGCUGUUAUGGUCUUUCCCAACACGGCCCCCCAGAACAUCAGCCUCCGGAGAAGGUGCAGAUGGCCCAAACGGAUGCUUGUGCUUCUUCCAGAUGACAGAAAGGGAGACCCUAAUGACCUGUCUUCUUUGGCCAUGGUCUGAGUUGGGUUACAGUCCUGCAGCUAAACAAGGGAUGCUGGCUGCUAUUGGACAAAGAUUAAAGGAUUGCUGACGUGCUCUAGCAUAGCUGAUUCGGGUAUAACUGAUGAUCUUCACCCACACGUGGGUAUAUGGGUCUGUGCUGCUAAUUGGAAGACAAGUGCUAACAAUCUCUGGAACAUUUCUCAGCUGGAGCAAGCAAAACACGUUGCAGUGCAAAGCUCUCUUAUCGUGGGCCUUGCGGCAGUCCCUAAUUCCACGUGACACAGUCUCCGUCGACUGGGUGCUGUAACAGCUGGGAUACAAGAAAAAUGUUUCAGGCAGAUUCAACAGAAGAGCCUGUACUUCAUUUGGCCAGCUCAGAGCCUGCAUCUUACUGAAGGACUCUAACACUUCGACGGAUGGCAGACUGUAUGAAGCCAGUUGGACGGCGAGUAGCUGUAGUGGCCCAGAAGAGCCCGGCCUCACGAGUCGCCUUC